rnacentral:rRNA from 1 species
UACGUAGGGUGCAAGCGUUGUCCGGAAUUAUUGGGCGUAAAGAGCUCGUAGGCGGUCUGUCGCGUCGGAUGUGAAAACCCAGGGCUCAACCCUGGGCCUGCAUUCGAUACGGGCAGACUAGAGUUCGGUAGGGGAGACUGGAAUUCCUGGUGUAGCGGUGAAAUGCGCAGAUAUCUGGAGGAACACCGGUGGCGAAGGCGGCGUCCUGGACCAACACUGACACUGAGGAGCGAAAGCCAGGGGAGCAAACGGG